GAUGAACGCUGACAGAAUGCUUAACACAUGCAAGUCAACUUGAAUUUGGGUUUUUAACUUAGGUUUGGGUGGCGGACGGGUGAGUAACGCGUAAAGAACUUGCCUCACAGCUAGGGACAACAUUUGGAAACGAAUGCUAAUACCUAAUAUUAUGAUAAUAGGGCAUCCUAUAAUUAUGAAAGCUAUAAGCGCUGUGAGAGAGCUUCGCGUCCCAUUAGCUAGUUGGAGAGGUAACGGCUCACCAAGGCGAUGAUGGGUAGCCGGCCUGAGAGGGUGAUCGGCCACAAGGGGACUGAGACACGGCCCUUACUCCUACGGGAGGCAGCAGUGGGGAAUAUUGGACAAUGGACCAAGAGUCUGAUCCGGCAAUUCUGUGUGCACGAUGAAGUUUUUCGGAAUGUAAAGUGCUUUCAGUUGGGAAGAAAGAAAUGACGGUACCAACAGAAGAAGUGACGGCUAAAUACGUGCCAGCAGCCGCGGUAAUACGUAUGUCACGAGCGUUAUCCGGAUUUAUUGGGCGUAAAGCGCGUCUAGGUGGUUAUAUAAGUCUGAUGUGAAAAUGCAGGGCUCAACUCUGUAUUGCGUUGGAAACUGUAUAACUAGAGUACUGGAGAGGUAAGCGGAACUACAAGUGUAGAGGUGAAAUUCGUAGAUAUUUGUAGGAAUGCCGAUGGGGAAGCCAGCUUACUGGACAGAUACUGACGCUGAAGCGCGAAAGCGUGGGUAGCAAACAGG
rnacentral:rRNA from 1 species